rnacentral:rRNA from 1 species
UAUAGUUUAUUUGAUGGUCAAUCGUUAUAUGGAUAACUGAGGUAAUUCUUGAGCUAAUACAUGCGCAAAAGCCCGACUUCUCGGAAGGGCUGUAUUUAUUAGAUACAGAACCAAUACUCCUCGGAGUUUUUUGGAUGAUUCAUAAUAAACGAACGGAGCGUAUGGCUUGUGCCGACGCUAUGUCAUUCAAGUUUCUGACCUAUCAGCUUUCGACGGUUGGGUAUUGGCCUACCGUGGCAUUGACGGGUAACGGAGAAUUAGGGUUCGAUUCCGGAGAGGGAGCCCGAGAAACGGCUACCACA